rnacentral:rRNA from 1 species
UACGUAGGUGGCGAGCGUUAUCCGGAUUUAUUGGGCGUAAAGCGUGCGCAGGCGGUUUAUUAAGUCUAAAAUUAAAGUCCGAAGCUUAACUUCGGUUCGUUUUAGAAACUGAUAGGCUAGAGUGCGGUAGAGGCAAAUGGAAUUUCUAGUGUAGCGGUAAAAUGCGUAGAUAUUAGAAGGAACACCAGUGGCGAAGGCGAUUUGCUGGGCCGCAACUGACGCUCAUGCACGAAAGCGUGGGGAGCAAAUAG